AAAAGCUAAUAAGGGCACACGGAGGAUGCCUAGGCAGCAACAGCCGAUGAAGGACGUGAUAAGCUGCGAUAAGCCGGGAGAAGAUGCACAUAAUCAUUGAUCCCCGGAUUUCCGAAUGGGUAAACCUGCAUGCCUGGAGGGCAUGCGUGAAAACGGCAAGCCUGCGAACUGAAACAUCUAAGUAGCAGGAGGAAAAGAAAGUAAAAACGAUUCCCCAAGUAGCGGCGAGCGAACAGGGAAAAGCCUAAACCGUGCCAGUGUCAAGCGGACAGCGUUGCUGGCACGGGGUUGCGGGACUUCCAUUAACGGAUUGUCAUAAUGUUUAAUCUGUAUAUGUGUAAGUGGAACCAGUUGGGAAGCUGGACCGAAGAAGGUGAAAGUCCUGUAGAACAUAAAGCAUAUGUGGAGACUGGAAGCACCCGAGUAGCGUCAGGCACGAGGAAUCUGGCGUGAAUCAGCGUGGACCAAAUCACGUAAGGCUAAAUACUGUUGUUGACCGAUAGUGAAGAGUACCGUGAGGGAAAGGUGAAAAGAACCCUGAGCAAGGGAGUGAAACAGAAUUUGAAACCGUGUGCUUACAAACGGUAGGAGCACUUUAUGUGUGACUGCGUGGAUUUUGGUUAAUCAUCCUGCGAGUUAUGGCUGGUGGCAAGGUUAAUAGACGGAGCCGAAGGGAAACCAAGUCUUAAUAGGGCGUCAAGUCGCCAGUCAUAGACGCGAAACCUAGUGAUCUAGGCCUGUCCAGGCUGAAGCUGAGGUAAGACUCAGUGGAGGGCCGAACUCACCGCCGUUGAAAAGUUGGGAGAUGAGAUAGGUCUAGGGGUGAAAAGCCAAUCGAACUAGGAGAUAGCUCGUUCUCUCCGAAAUGCAUUUAGGUGCAGCCUUGAACUGAGAUAUGUGGGGGUAGAGCUCUGUAUGAUCUAGGGGGCGUACUGCUUACCGAAAUCAAGCAAACUGCGAAUACCAUAUAUCAUGUUCAGGAGUGAGUCCGUGGAUGACAAGGUCCUCGGACGAGAGGGGAACAGCCCAGACCGCCAGCUAAGGUCCCUAAUUAUGUCUAAGUGGGAAAGGAGGUGGACAUUCAUAGACAACCAGGAGGUUGGCUUAGAAGCAGCCAUGCCUUGAAAGAGUGCGUAAUAGCUCACUGGUCGAGAGUGCCUGCGCCGAAGAUGUAACGGGGCUAAGACAUAAACCGAAGCUGCGGAAGAUACACUGUAUCUUGGUAGGAGAGCGUUCUGUAGGCCGUCGAAGGGAUGCCGCAAGGCCGUCCUGGAGGUAUCAGAAGCGAGAAUGCAGGAAUGAGUAGCGAGAAGGCGGGCGAGAAUCCCGCCGGCCGGAAGUCCAAGGUUUCCAGGGGAAGGCUUGUCCGCCCUGGGGAAGUCGGGACCUAAGCAUAAGCAAAAUUGUGAUGGCGAAUGGAAAACAGGUUAAUAUUCCUGUACCGCUGUUAUCGCUUGAGAGACGGAGUGACGCAGGAAGGUAUGCGAGAAGGCUGACGGUUUAGCCUUUCUAAGGGCCCAGCGUGGGCGUGCUGGUAAAUCCGCACGCCUAAACGUGAGACCUGACGGGGAAGUGCAUUUGCAUAAGUCGCAGAUCCUACACUGCCAAGAAAAACUUCUAUCGAUGAGAAGCAGCGCCCGUACUGUAAACCGACACAGGUGGACAGAGUGAGAAACUUAAGGCCGACAGGAUAACUCUAGCUAAGGAACUCUGCAAAAUAGCCCCGUAACUUCGGGAGAAGGGGUGCCUGACAUACCUGAAGGAGAGAAGCGCUCCCAGGGGAAACAGGCCGCAGUGAAGAGUCUCAAGCAACUGUUUACCAAAAACACAGGUCUAUGCUAAGCUGAAAGGCGACGUAUAUGGGCUGACACCUGCCCAGUGCCGGAAGGUUAAGAGGAGGAGUGAGAGCUCCGAUUUGAAGCCCCGGUGAACGGCGGCCGUAACUAUAACGGUCCUAAGGUAGCGAAAUUCCUUGUCGGGUAAGUUCCGACCUGCACGAAUGGUG
rnacentral:rRNA from 1 species